AUACCGCCAAUGAGGCUGCCGAGUCGACUCGCUGCACUGUUACGUCCUAGCUGUUGUACCCAAUACAUCGGGAUAUAACCAGCAAAGAAGUGAUGCAAGAACAUUCUUUUCCCUGGGGAAGAGGAUGACGACGAUGAGAUGGAAAGCACCCUGAAAGUAACAAAGUCAAAAAAGGGACUGGAUUCAUUGCCCAAAGCUCAGAAGAUCCUUAGGCAGCACAACACUCCUGCAUUAGACCCAGGGAAGCAAAACAACCCCAAGCUCCACCCAAGUGGCCACAGCAGUCCUGACCUCUUCCCAAGUGAUGACAACACUCCUGACCACCACCCAAGUGGUCACAACACUCCUGACCUCCACCCAAGUGGCCACAGCAGUCCUGACCUCCACCCAAGUAGCCACAACACGCCUGACCUCCACCCAUGUGGCCACAACACUCCUGACCUCCACCCAAGUAGACACAGCACUCCUGAGCCACAUCAAAGUCAGCACUCCAGCACUACCAAGUUUCCUUCAAGCUGGCACACCAGCAGUGAGAUCCAUUCUCCAAGGCAUGCCGCACCCCCUUAAGUCCCAUCAAGGCACCCUAAGCCACACGAAACCGGGGCGCAGACAUCCUGCCUGCAAACUUCCCUCCUGUAUAAUAUAUCAACAAAGCAGGAAAUGAUGAUGGACCAACUGCAAAUCAUCUUUAAGACCCUACAGGUUAUGAAAUCGACUGAUUCAACUGGUUUGUGGACUUAAACAUGGCACAGACGUUGAGGAGUUCUGUGCAGAGUACAACUGGUUUGUGGACUUAAACAUGGCACAGAUGUUGAGGAGUUCUGUGCAGAGUACAACUGGUUCGUGGACUUAAACUCAAUUUUUUCAUAUUCAUUCAUUACACAUACAGUGCUGACAGGGGAGGAGGGGAAGGAGGAGGUGAAAGGACAUAAGAAGCAGGGAGGAGAGGAGGGGAGUAAGGGACUGCAAGAAAGAUUGUCUGAUAAAUGUGUUUUGUAUUGAUGUGAAAAUUUAAUAAAUAUUAAUACUGUCAUCGUUGAGGCAUUUUUUUCAUCUGGGCCAAAUACAGCAAGUGUGUAGUAAAGAAGUGGCUUGGUUAAGGUUUAUUUGAGGCUGACAUCUGGAACCAGUGCUGAAACUUGUCUGGUCCAACAUAGGGCCAGAAGAGGGCCAGCUAUGGUCAUACAUGUGGCUGAGAUAUGGCUAUGUCAUGGGCCAUAUGUGGCCCGUUUCUGGCGACCAGAUUUGGACAACCUGUGGACCGUAAUUCAUUGCGGUAUGUGGGCCGAGUGUAAGUGAGAUGUGUGGCCCGCCACUGGGCCAGACCAAUUUUGCUAUGUGGGCCUGCUCCAGCUGCAGGUAGCUCGUACGGAUCGAUGUUAUUUAUUUCUUGGAUCUUCUCCAAAUACCUCAGUUUGAAUCAUGAUAAGACAGCAAAAAAGUCACACAAAGCACGGUAAAUGAGAUGGGGUAGCCUAAUUAACGGGAAACACAGGAACAAGUAUAGGUUUUGAAAGAUAAAAAGAGAGCGUCCUCUUGGCUUUUCACAUGGUAAUAUUAUUUUAAAAAAUAUGGGUUGCAUACAGUAGUUGUAAUUCGACCUAGUCAUAAAAUGCUACUAGGCUAAAUAGUGGCUCUGUGGAGCCAUGGACCAGCUGAUAAGCCGUCUUUUCCAAAUCUGCAGACAGUAUUUUGGUGAUAAUCACUGCUCCUCCCCGUGGACAAAUGAAGCAUUGCAACUGGUUUUCACACAGGUCUCUAGGGGCGUUACAAGUCAGGGCUGCAUUUCCUACGUCAUUGCGGGGGAUUAAAUUGACUCCACGGAGCAGGCGGCAGGCUUGCACGGAGCCGUCACGGAUCUGCCACGGACCUGCCGCGGACCUGCCAAGGUUCAGUCAUGGA